rnacentral:rRNA from 1 species
GUGUCAGCAGCCGCGGUAAUACAGAGGGUGCAAGCGUUGUUCGGAAUUAUUGGGCGUAAAGCGCGUGUAGGCGGGAUGGCAAGUCGGGUGUGAAAGCCCUCAGCUCAACUGAGGAAGUGCGCCCGAAACUACCGUUCUUGAGUGCCAGAGAGGGUGGCGGAAUUCCCGGUGUAGAGGUGAAAUUCGUAGAUAUCGGGAGGAACACCAGUGGCGAAGGCGGCCACCUGGAUGGACACUGACGCUGAGACGCGAAAGCGUGGGGAGCAAACAGGAUUAGAUACCCUGGUAGUCCACGCCGUAAACGAUGAGUGCUAGGUGUUGUGGGUGUUGACCCCCGCAGUGCCGCAGCUAACGCAUUAAGCACUCCGCCUGGGAAGUACGGCCGCAAGGCUAAA